UCAAGUUGUACCAACACAGAGAAAGGAGGAGGAACCUCUGGUCGGCCCUUGAGAACAUUUUAGCUGGGGUUCUGGAAUGGAAUGUGGCACAGAAAGGCCAAACCAGACCAGUAAAUUCUUUGAAAGGGUGAAAAGCAAGGAUUGUGGAUUUCUGGAAGAUGGAUGCUGUUGGAUUUCCAGAAGAUGGAUGCUGUUGACUUUCAGGGCAAUCCUUUGUCACUCAGGAUUCUGGAUGCCCUUUUGAAAGAUUCCAAGAGAACCUUCGUUUCUCACUGUCCCUGCUACUGAUAGCCACCUGACCUGCCGGGCUGUCUCUGCUGCUUGUCUCAUUCACAGAUGGAGAAGAGUUCCUGCUACUCUUGAUGACGCCUUUUGGGAGUCCUCCAUUUGACCUCCCUGAGUGAGAACUGAUGAGGACACUGCUGUUGAUGAAGCUGCUGAUUCAAGAGUCUUCAAAGGCCACUGUCUCACCUCAUUGUAGGCUUAAGCUCCUGACCUUUACUCCUUCCUGUAAAGAUCCUCAGGAGCCUAACAGUGCCAUUCUGAGAGCUCUGUUAUCC